rnacentral:rRNA from 1 species
GUGCCAGCCGCCGCGGUAAUACCGGCAGCCCGAGUGAUGGCCGAUCUUAUUGGGCCUAAAGCGUCCGUAGCUGGCUGCGCAAGUCCGUCGGGAAAUCCACUCGCUCAACGAGUGGGCGUCCGGCGGAAACUCUCCGGCUUGGGACCGGAAGACCGAAGGGGUACGUCCGGGGUAGGAGUGAAAUCCCGUAAUCCUGGACGGACCACCGGUGGCGAAAGCGCCUUCGGAGGACAGAUCCGACAGUGAGGGACGAAAGCUAGGGUCUCGAACCGGAUUAGAUACCCGGGUAGUCC